rnacentral:rRNA from 1 species
UACGUAGGGUCCGAGCGUUAAUCGGAAUUACUGGGCGUAAAGCGCGUGUAGGCGGUCCGGUAAGUCCGCUGUGAAAGUCGGGGGGCUCAACCCUCGGAUGCCGGUGGAUACUGUCGGGCUUGAGUACGGAAGAGGCGAGUGGAAUUCCUGGUGUAGCGGUGAAAUGCGCAGAUAUCAGGAGGAACACCAGUGGCGAAGGCGACUACCUGGUCUGUUCUUGACGCUGAGGCGCGAAAGCUAGGGGAGCAAACGGG